rnacentral:rRNA from 1 species
UACGUAGGGGGCAAGCGUUGUUCGGAAUUACUGGGCGUAAAGGGCGCGUAGGCGGCACAGCAAGUCGGGAGUGAAAGCCCGGGGCUCAACCCCGGAAUGGCUUUCGAAACUGCUGAGCUAGAGUACAGAAGGGGCAACCGGAAUUCCCAGUGUAGCGGUGAAAUGCGUAGAUAUUGGGAAGAACACCUGAGGCGAAGGCGGGUGGCUGGGCUGAUACUGACGCUGAGGCGCGAAAGCCAGGGGAGCAAACGGG